GAAAUGCGAUAAGUAAUGUGAAUUGCAGAAUUCAGUGAAUCAUCGAAUCUUUGAACGCACAUUGCGCCCGCCAGUAUUCUGGCGGGCAUGCCUGUUCGAGCGUCAUUACAACCCUCAGGCCCCCGGGCCUGGCGUUGGGGAUCGGCGGAAGCCCCCUGCGGGCACAACGCCGUCCCCCAAAUACAGUGGCGGUCCCGCCGCAGCUUCCAUUGCGUAGUAGCUAACACCUCGCAACUGGAGAGCGGCGCGGCCACGCCGUAAAACACCCAACUUCUGAAUGUUGACCUCGAAUCAGGUAGGAAUACCCGCUGAACUUAGGC
rnacentral:misc_RNA from 1 species